rnacentral:rRNA from 1 species
AUUGAACGCUGGCGGCAGGCCUAACACAUGCAAGUCGAGCGAGCGGCGGACGGGUGAGUAAUGUAUGGGGACUGCCCGAUAGAGGGGGAUAACUACUGGAAACGGUGGCUAAUACCGCAUACUAUCGGAUAACCCAUAUGGGAUUAGCUAGGGGGUGGGGUAAAGGUUCACCUAGGCGACGACCUCUAGCUGGUCUGAGAGGAUGAUGGGCCACACUGGGACUGAGACACGGCCCAGACUCAUACGGAGGCAGCAGUGGGGAAUAUUGCACAAUGGGCGCAAGCCGAAUGCAGCCAUGCGGCUUGGAUGAGGAAGGCCUUAGGGUUGUAAAGUCCGUUCAGCGGGGAGGCGUUACCCGAAGAAGAAGCAACGGCUAACUCCGUGCCAGCAGCCGCGGUAAUUC